AAUUAGUGAUUGAAUGCAAACAUACAAUAUUCUUCCUUCUAAGGGCCUGACUGGUUUAAACGCAGCUAGUGCGGUUGCGACUGCGGAAGUUUGCGGAAACGGGCGGUUGCGGUUUCAAGGGUGAUCAAGUGUUUUGAACGACUGAUCGAGCGUUUGAUAAUGUGUGCGUUUGCGAGAGUUUUAUGACUGGUAAACAUGCGGGUGUGAUAGUAAUUAAAUAAAAAAUAAGUAAUCAAAAUA
rnacentral:sRNA from 1 species